rnacentral:rRNA from 1 species
CCUCCUUUCUCCCUCCUUUUUUUCUCUUUCCCACUUUAUUUCCCUCUUAUUCAGCGACGCCGCGUGAGGGAAGAAGGUUUUCGGAUUGUAAACCUCUGUCUUCGGUGACGAAACGAGACGGUAGCCGAGGAGGAAGCCACGGCUAACUACGUGCCAGCAGCCGCGGUAAUACGUAGGUGGCAAGCGUUGUCCGGAAUUACUGGGUGUAAAGGGAGCGUAGGCGGGAAAGCAAGUUGAAUGUUUAAGGUACGGGCUCAACCUGUACAAGCGUUCAAAACUGUUUUUCUUGAGUGGAGUAGAGGUAAGCGGAAUUCCUAGUGUAGCGGUGAAAUGCGUAAAUAUUAGGAGGAACACCAGUGGCGAAGGCGGCUUACUGGGCUUUAACUGACGCUGAGGCUCGAAAGCGUGGGUAGCAAACAGGAUUAGAUACCCCAGUAGUC